CAUCUCCAGUCCAACAGCAAGCGGGCGUGAUAGUUGGCACUGUGGUUGCUGUACUCGUUUUGCUCAUAUUGGCCGUGAUAACUGCAAUUGUUACUCGUCGCUUCAGAAAGUCGAAAAGUGGAAGACAUGUACCUAACCGAGAGACAGCAGCAACAGGUGGGAUAACUGAGAUGAAGAACCUAAACUCGCAACCCCGAGGGAGGCCCCCGGCCACGGAAAGCAGUAUCUAUGAAGUUCCUGAUCAUCAAGCAAAUCAAACACCAAUCUACACAGACCUACAGCCCCAUAAUGCCUUGCGAUGAGUCCUGACAAGAAAUAUCGAAAGCGGUAGUGAACAUUAUUCAAGCGUGUGAAUAUCGUUUUCUUUUUCCCAUGACAUCCCGACAUAAUAAAUACCAGCAGACUUCCUUUGCUAGAUGAAAAUCGGUAAAACUUCGAAUAUGUAGAAUCUGUCCACUUUCAUUAAGAUUGCAAUUUUAUUGCCAAUAACUAUAGGUAGAAUUUUUUUUUACAAAAAGUGUAUAUAAUCCUAUUGUAAAAUCUUGCAUGAAAAUUUGACACUAUUGUACAUAAAAUCCUAUUGAUACACCAUUAUAAUAAAUAUAAAUAUUCAUUAUAUUCAAUAUUCAUUAUAAAUACUGAAUGUGCACAUGAAAUAAGAACAUACCCCAUCUAAUAUCUGUGUACAUAAAAUGCACCAGAUGUUCAGUGUAUCACCAAAUGUGCCAAUAGCAUUUUCGAGGUUGCGUAUUCUGAGAUCGGGUAUCAUGUGCGUUUUCAUGUUGAGUGAUAUCAGUGCAUGUCAUUCUAUUUUUUUUAGACUAAACUUGAUAGUUUUUAUGAAGUCAUUGUCUUGGAUUUUUAGUGUAGGUUAUAUAUACUAGUAUAUAUUUGUAGGUUAGAGCUGUACAGGGUAGUAAACACCCUGACACUAAGAAUACAGACAACUCAUUGCGACAGCUAUCUAGGUGUCAUUGUGACAGCUAUCUCACCUAACACAAUGCUAGCGUGUAGGUCCAUUUGGAUUGAGGCUGUGAAGAGAGAAUCGUAGCUCGUAUUUCGCGCAUAUG